CCGUAGAAGCCCAAAGUUAACCAAACCUCCAAUUAUGUUGCACUGUAUACCCAAGCCCAAAGCAAGCCCAUGUUUUUUCCUUUAGGCCAACAGCGUGAGUUGACCUAGCCUACCAUCUCCAGUUCAGAUCGAUUCUGCGCCUGCCGCCGCUCUAGUAGAUCGCCAGACGCCACACAACGCGGCGCCAUGAUAGCUAGUCCGGCCGUCUCAGCCCGCGGAGAUGCUGCCGCGGUGCCGAUCGAUGAACCAUGCCAUCGAGUACACGAGCCCGGCGGUCACUUAGUUUAUUCCUCCAGCAAUCGAGUCUGAAGGUAUAUAUACCGCACAGUUUUUUUUUUUUGGCAGAUUGUAUAACCUAUAGUCCAGUUAAUUAACGGGCUGACUAAAUGACUAAUGAUGCAAGACGAUUGAUUAAUUUACAAAUUAGACGUGUCUUCCUCUUUUUCUUCGGUUUUGCUAAAGCACAUCUAGAUGUGUUCUAACUAUUGCAUAUGUAAGUUUUCUUUCAUCGAAAAGGUUAUCUUAUUGGUUUCUCUUGCAUUGUUACAUGAGAUUAAUUUUUAACAUUUUCUUUUUUCAAAAUUCUAGUAUGGAAAUUUGAAUCAGCUCGCUUUAAUGUAAAUCAUGAACUCUUUUGUGAGUUCCCUUUCGGUCUCUCUUGCACUACAAUGCAUGGGACAUCAAACAAAAAUGUACUGCUUAUUUCUGCUAGCAUGGGUGCUAAACCUCUAUCGCCAUGACAAUCUAUUUCGGUGCCUCUUGUGUGGUUAUCGUCGCGUCAUUGCUCAAUAUCAGUGGACACGACUCUUGUUGUUAGCUUUCGUUCUUCAGAUUAAGUAUUGUUUGGCCUUGACGUCUCCACCUCAGUACACAUUCUUUAGCUAGAUAUCUAAAGGAUCUUUUUUACUUUGGCAUGUCCAUGGUUAUUUGUUACUCCAUCGAGUUCUUUUGUUUGUCUCCAACCACAAAAAUUUGUCUCCUUUAGCCAAUAAUUUUCUUAGAUUGUCACAACCCUUCCUUAUUUGACCAAUUGCAUUGAAUGCAUUACAUUUCUUUCUUCCCUAUGGCCCAUCCUAAUUAAAUCCAGCAUGGUCUAACUCCAAUCUCUUCUCUCUCAUGUGACUUGUUUUCCCCGAUGUUUUUCUUUUCCAACAAAAGGUGUUUUUUAUUAACUCAUAAUGUGACAUCGAUUGAUACAAUGAUAAUGAGAACACAUCCGACCUCUGCAUAACUAAGAUGCACACACCCAACACUAUCAUGCACACACGGAUCAGACUGGCAAAAAGCAAAGUCAGAACAGAAUAUAUGCCAAGGUGAGAAAAAGAAAAAAAAUUGAAACCAUCCAAAUAGCGAUCAACGAUGUAUAACAACGACCAUCGACACCAACCAUCUUUUGAAAAUAUAGUACUAUGAGAAGGAUUCUUCAAAUGAAACACCCUCAUCAAGGAAACGGUGUAUAAGCGUCAUCGUCGCCGGAUCCAUCAUCGAAAGCCAGAUCAUGAGUUUUCACCCUGAAGAUCAAGUCCGAGCUAACUUCAAGAACUAUGUUCAACAGGGUAAUGACACAAAAGAACCUCCAUUGCCAGGACCUGGGCAGCUGCAUAUACGUAUGGUCAUGAUGUGAGAUGCCACGCAAGAGAUGAUCAUGCCUGCAUGAGCAUGCGGUCAAUCCACGACAAGAGUCACCUUCCACCACACGACACAUACUCUGGUAUGGGCAGAAGGCCCCAUGCACCGCCCAAAUCCCAAGUUUGAGAGGACCGGGCAUACCAGCACCAUCCUCACAAGUGGUAGUAGAUGACCGAUCUACAUGAGAUGACAUGAUCACAUGCCGCCACUACCAUCGUCAUCACAUGUGACAGUAGAUUACACCAGGAUGGAGGACAUGACCGUUGUCAUGCAUCGCGAAUGGCGAUGUAGAUCCUAAAUCUUGUUGCAUCUGGAGCUACAACCCUUUCGGUGACCAUUUUAUGGCCAAUGACGCAUCGAUGGAGGCAAUAACGGUUAGUCAAGCAUGAAAAACAGCGCCCAACAGCACAUAGGCUAGAUCGGGCGCGACGACUGUGACAUCUACUGUGUGGCCACCGUCACACCCCCUUUGGUCCACGGGAAAUGGCCGCGACAUUUGUUGCAUCGCCACCACCUCAUCCCACCAUGCCCUAACCCUGAAGAGGCGCCUUCGGAGCUGGGCUAACCCCUGUUAGAUGAACAGACUCUCCAAACCAGUGGCAUGGUGGUUGUGUCGGCUCCCAUUCCACCGCCACUUAGGUUUGAGCGGCAACACAAUGCCAUCAGGAAUAGGAAAGGCGUGUUGCAUCCCCUAGCUAGCCAUGAAUUGUUGUUGCGUUGCAUCAUGUCUGCCAUUACCGAGUUGUCAUCGCAAAGUAUGCCAGCUGCGCGGGCAAGCCCCGCGGCCACUCGUGGAGGCGGUGAGGAGAGGAUGCUCAGGAAGAGGGCGCCCGAGAAUGUGCAUCAGAUGGUUAUACAAGUCGCUCUGGUGGAGGGUGUGGGGGCAGUUUUGGUUUGUUGCCUGCCCUUUUGGCAUUUAUGUAUGACCUUCUAUGGAGUCCGCGACCAUUAUCGUGGCUCAAAAAUUAUCAUCAUUAUGUUUCUACUUGCGGCUGCUAUUGCUAGUUUUUAACAAUUUCUAUUAUUUUUCGUUAACGUGGCAACUCUUUCUUCCACCUUACUUGUAGUUGAUCAUUUGGUCUAACUCCUUAUAACGGUUCAAUUUGAGAUGUUAACCCAUCUUUC